rnacentral:pre_miRNA from 1 species
UUGGUGUGAGGUGGAGAGUUCCAAAGGGAUCGCAUUGAUCUGAUGAUUUAAAUGGAUAUUUUCUUGAAUUUUAAGAUCAUGCGAUCCCUUCGGAAUUCUCCAUUACACAGCAC